rnacentral:rRNA from 1 species
UACGUAGGGUGCGAGCGUUAAUCGGAAUUACUGGGCGUAAAGCGUGCGUAGGCGGUUCGUUAAGUUCGUUGUGAAAGCCCCGGGCUCAACCUGGGAAUGGCAAUGGAAACUGGCGGGCUUGAGUAUAGCAGAGGGGGGUGGAAUUCCGCGUGUAGCAGUGAAAUGCGUAGAGAUGCGGAGGAACACCGAUGGCGAAGGCAGCCCCCUGGGCCAAUACUGACGCUCAGGCACGAAAGCGUGGGGAGCAAACAGG